GACGCAAGCUUUCUUCUUUCUUAACACAUGCAAGUCGAACGGUGAACCUCUUCGGAGGGGCUCAGUGGCGAACGGGUGAGUAACACGUGGGCAACCUGCCCCCGGCUCUGGGAUAACUCCAAGAAAUUGGGGCUAAUACCGGAUGUUCACCGCUUCCCGCAUGGGUGGUGGUGGAAAGGGUUUCCGGCUGGGGAUGGGCCCGCGGCCUAUCAGCUUGUUGGUGGGGUAGUGGCCUACCAAGGCGACGACGGGUAGCCGGCCUGAGAGGGUGACCGGCCACACUGGGACUGAGACACGGCCCAGACUCCUACGGGAGGCAGCAGUGGGGAAUAUUGCGCAAUGGGCGGAAGCCUGACGCAGCGACGCCGCGUGGGGGAUGACGGCCUUCGGGUUGUAAACCUCUUUCAGCAGGGACGAAGCGCAAGUGACGGUACCUGCAGAAGAAGCACCGGCCAACUACGUG
rnacentral:rRNA from 1 species